rnacentral:miRNA from 1 species
AUCUUAUUUGGAGCAUUCCAGUAACUUUUUGGUAUGUACCUAGCUGUACUAUAAGUAGUUGGUUUGUAUGAGAUGGUUAAAAA